CCUACGGGGGGCAGCAGUGGGGAAUAUUGCACAAUGGUGGAAACCCUGAUGCAGCGACGCCGCGUGAGUGAAGAAGUAUUUCGGUAUGUAAAGCUCUAUCAGCCGGGAAGAAAAUGACGGUACCUGAUUCAGAAGCCCCGGCUAACUACGGGCCAGCAGCCGCGGUAAUACGGAGGGGGCAAGCGUUAUCCGGAUUUACUGGGUGUAAAGGGGGCGUAGACGGCAGCACAAGUCUGGAGUGAAAUGCCGGGGCUUAACCCCGGAACUGCUUUGGAAACUGGGCAGCUAGAGUGCAGGAGAGGUAAGUGGAAUUCCUAGUGUAGCGGUGAAAUGCGUAGAUAUUAGGAGGAACACCAGUGGCGAAGGCGGCUUACUGGACUGUAACUGACGUUGAGGCUCGAAAGCGUGGGGAGCAAACAGGAUUAGAUACCCCAGUAGUC
rnacentral:rRNA from 1 species